CACCACUUGAGGAAGAGGAGAGGACCUUGCCACCUGAAGAAGAGAGGACCUCACCACCUGAGGAAGAGAAGAUGACCUCACCACCUGAGGAAGAGGAGAAGUCCUCACCAUCUGAUGAAGAGGAGAAGACCUCACCAUCUGAUGAAGAGGAGAAGACCUCACCAUCUGAUGAAGAGGAGAAGACCUCACCAUCUGAUGAAGAGGAGAAGACCUCACCAUCUGAUGAAGAGGAGAAAGCUUCACCAUCUGAGGAAGUAGAGAAAUCAUCACCACCUGAGGUAAAAGAAAAGGCACAAGUUGUAGAAACAAGAGCUCUUAGGAGAGGAAGAAAAAGUGUUCCUGUUGUCCUAACUUCAAAUCGCAAGUCCGCAAGAAGAGGCAAACAGCCUGAGGAGGAGAAAAGGGAGGUGGAGAAGCCAAAAACACAAGAGGCAGAUGAAGAAGAAGAAGAAGCACAAGAUCUGGAAACCAAAGUUCUGAGGUUAGGAAGAAAGUCAGCUUUUGGUGCCAUUACUGCCACACCCAGACAAAAGUACACAUUAGCCCACAAAGAACCCAAUAAAGAGACAGAGGAUAAGCCAGCUGAACCAAUGCCAGAAACUCUCUGGGAAAAAGUGGAGGAAGAAAAAGCAGCAGAUGAGGAAAAAGCUGAAGUGGAAUUGAAGAGCACUGCGGAACAAACGGGAGCAAUACAAACAAGACAGCAGGAAGAAAAAAAUGAGGAAGAUAGGAAAGAGGAAGAGAAGGAAGAGGUGGAAGCAGUAGAUGAAAGCGUUGUAAACAUAACGGUAGGAAAACCAACAGAGGCUGUUGAAGAUACAGACAAAGUGGAUGAAGACAAAAUCGAAACAACAGUAAUGGGAAUUGCUGCAGAUAAUCUGCUAGAAAAUCCAGUUCGGGAACAUGUUGAGUUAGAGGAUGACAAAAGUCUAAAAACACAAAAUCUCAAGCUGCAGAAGGCCACUGUGGUGCUGGUGGACCUGAAAAAAACAACAUUACAUCCACCAGUGCAGAUAGAAAAUGUGGACUGCAAAACUGAUGAAUUAACAGAGGAGGAUGUUGACAAUGAGACCCUGGUAAAAGCUGUUGAGAAAGAGAUGGCAAUAAAAACAAGUCAAGAGGAAAUGGGAGAAAAGUGUCUUGAGGAAGUUGUGGAUGGUACUCCAGUUGUGGAACAUAGACAAACAAGAAACAGGACAAAAACUGUUGCAGCAGUCACACCCCAACGAAAGUCCAUACAAAGCAAGCCAUCUGGGGACCAAAACAAAAAUAAUGCAGAGGUGGAAGAAUCAGGAAAUAAACCCACAGAGCUGGUGAAGGAAGCAUUAUCUGAAACUGUGGAGAGUGGAGAGAAAGAAAAGAUGGAGGGAGAAACAGCUGAGGAAGUGACAGACAAAGACAAGCAAGUGAAGAGUUCAGAAAAAAAUAUUGAGGAAGCUGACACUGCAAUAGUGGAAAAAGUUCAGAAAGAAAGGGUGGAUGAGAAGGCAUACCCCAUGGAUGAAAAAAAGGUAGAGAGAGAAACAACUGGAAAAGAGGAAAAGGUAGAGGAUGAAAAAAAAGAAGUGGAAGUAGAAUUAGCUGUUGAAAAACAAAAAGAUGAAGAGAAGCCUGUUGUUGACAAAGUUUUCAUAGUCUCCCCACCUGAGAAAAAGAUGGCAUCAUCUGAAGAGGAGAAGGAGAAGAUUUCACCACCUGAGGAUGGAGAAGAGUCAAGUGAAACAAGAGUCCUUACAAGAGGAAGGAAAAAAGUUCCUGCUGCCUUGACACAAAAAAGUUCCUGCUACCCUAAACGCAAGUCUACAAGAAUAGGCAAACAGCAUGAGGAAGUAGAGGUGGUGGAGCUAGAGGCUGAAGAAACACUAGCUCUUGCUGCAGCUACUGACACACCCUGUUGCAUAUCCACAAAAGCCCAAAAAGAACCGGAGGAAAAGGUGGACUGUCCUAAACCUGUGCCUGACAUGUUGGAAGACAAGGGAGCUAACUUAGAAAUUGCUUCAGUGGAAAAGGAGAAUGGUGCAGAAACAGUUGUGAUAGAACUCAAAGCAGUGGAGGAAAAAACAACUAAGAAAGAAAGAAAGGUGGAGAAUGAGAAGAAAGAGAAAGCUCAAGCUAAAACUUCAGCAGAAGAAGAGAAGAUUAUUGCAGAAGAGAAAGUGGAAGAGAAAGCAAAUGCAGUUGAGGAAAAAAUUGAUAAAGCAGCUUUAGUAGAAGAAGAAAAGAUGGAAGCUUUAGCUGAAAAUGUUGCGAGAGUAGAGGGAAAAGAGGGAGAUGUAGCCAUAGCUAAGGAAAAGGAAGAGAAGACAGCAGAGAUAUUGGAGGAAAUCAUUGAGCAAGCUGCAGUUACAGCUGGAAGUAUUACUGUGGAAGCAAAAGUGGUGCCUGCAAAAACCACAGAGGUGGAAGCAAUAACUGAGGAAGAGGGAAAAAUGGAGGGAGAGAAGAAAGAAGAAAAAGGUAUUGAAAAAGAUGUAGACAAGCCAGUUGGGGAAGCGGUGAAUACUUCACCAUCUAAGGAAAAAAUGGUGGAACAGGAGGUUCCAGUUAUAGAAACAAGAGUCCUGAGGAGAGGAAGGAAAAGCAUCCCAUCUAUUCCCACACCAAAAUGCAAGACCAGAAAAAGAGAGAAACAGCUGGAGGAAGAAACAAAAGAUAAGCCAGAAGAGCCAUCAAUAGUGGAAGGCGGACUUCUGAGGAAAGGAAGGAAAUCUGCAUAUGCCCCAACACCCAGACGUCAAUACAAACGACCCCGUAAACAACUAGAUGGGAAGGAAGAAAAUGUAGAUGAGGGGCCUAAACUUGUAAAGGAAGCUAUGGAGGAAAAAGCUGAUGGAGAAAAAUGUAUGGAGGAUGAAAACCUGAAGAAAGAAAAGAUAGAUGAGGCCGCAGCUAAGAGUGUGGAAAAAGGGGUUGAGGUGGCAGAAAUGAAAGAAAAAAAGUUGGAAGAAUCAACAUCUGACAAAGAUAAAGUGGAGGAAGAGAAUGAAGCUGCAGCUGGAACUCCACCAGCGGGAGAGGAAUUAGGACCAGAAGAAAAAGCUGAGGAGGUAGUGAAAGCUGUUGAGGAGGAAAGGUUGGAAGGGGCAACGCCUGAGGAAGAAGAGAAGAUGCAGACAAAUUGGAGAAUGAUGUGGAAAGGGUUGCAGAUGAAGCAGUAGAAAAGAUUGGGGAAGAGGAGAAAGGAAUGUCAUCUAAGGAAGGAGAGGAUGCUCUUGUAGAAACAAGAGUCCUGAGGAGAGGAAGAAAAAGUGUUCCUGUUACUCCUACAAAGCGCAAGUCCUCACAAAAAUGCCAACAAGCUGAGGAGGAGGCGGAAAAGUUACCGGAGGUGGCUAAACGUAUGCUGGAUCCUGUGGAAGAAAAUUGGAAGGAAGCAACUGAGGGAGAGUUGGUACCAGUAUUGGAAACCAAAGUUCUUAGGAGAGGAAGAAAAUCUUCUAAUGCCACAUCCAAAUCCAAACGAGCCCGCAAAGAAACUGAGGAAGAGAAACAGGUGGAGUCUAAAAAUAUGGAAGAGGCAUCUCAAACUGUGCCAGAAGCAGUGGGAGACAAGGUAGAGGGAAGGGAUGCAGUUGAGGAAAUGGUGGGGCAGAAUAAUUUGGAUGUUGCAAUAGUGACGGACCAAGAAAACACUAAACUACAAUCAAACAGUGGUGCUAUUGAGGAGAAGAAAGUAGUAACCAUCCCAAAGCAGACAGUGAUUGAUAUGGCUGAGCAAACAGAGGAGAAUGAAGAUGAGAACACAAAGAUGAUAACUACAGAAAUAGCUAAAGAAAAAGAAGCAGGUGAAAUACAAGAAGUUGAAUCAGUAGAUGAGAAGGAACAAGAUGUCAUCGAGGUGGAAGAGGACGAGAUGGAGGAAGAACCAACAGAUAUUACCUUUUUGGAAGCAGUCAAAAAUGUCCAGGAAAAAACUGUUGAGAAAGAAGAGAACGCCAUAAUAACAAUAGCAAGCCAAGAAGAGGAAUCAGCAAAAAGCCCUAAUGAGAUUUCAGAAGUUCCUCCAUUUGUGGAAACCAGAGCUACAAGGAGCAGAACAACAUUUGCCACACCCAAACGAAAGUCCAUGAGAAAAAAGCCCCCUGUGGAUUAUAAUGAACAAGUUGCAGAGGAGGAGGAAACAGGAAGUGAACCUGUAGUGGAAAAAGAAAGGAAUAGUGUAGUGGAACAAGAAGCAGGCAUAGAAGAAGAGGAUGGGGAAAAGGAAAAAGCUGUGGAGUCUGAAGGUGCUGAUAACAAGGAGAUGGUGAAGCAGCCAGAGGAAUGUGGAACAGAGGAAGAGAAAGAAGAAAAGACUAAGAACAGUGGCAUGGACAAUAUAGAGAACAAUAAAAAUGAGGCUGAUAAUGAAUUUGACCAGGUUGGCCUUCAUUUAAAGUUAGCAGAGGAUGAAGAGGUGGAGCAGAAAAAUGAGGAGAUGGAGGAAGAGAAAAAUGCCACCGCUGAGUUGGAAAUUCUGAAGAGCUCUGAGGAAAUGGAGGAAAAGAAGGGUCCAGUGGUUUCGCGGGAGAGGUUAAGCUAUGCUAAGCCCAUAACAACACCCAAGCGUAAAUCUACAAGACACAGCCAAAUAGUCACACCCACACCUAGUGGGGUUGUGCUUUCUUCAGAUGAAGAGCCUGAAGACAGCCCUGCGGAGAAGAGAAACCUUCGGAUGAGAAAAAGUUUUCAACCAAGAACUAUCCGCAGGUCCAAGCGCAGCAAAACCUAGACUGCGGAGACAGCUUUUUUUCUUCCAAUUUUUUUUUUUUAAAUUAAGCUGUUUAGUGAAGAUUGCAUAUGUGACCAGAUAAAUUCCUUUUCUAAUUUCAGUAAAAGAAAAUGUUUUAUGUUACAUAUUUUAGGAUACUUUUCAAGAUAUAUUUUUUAUAUUUUGCAAACAUUUUGCAUAGAAAGUACAAAUACUAUUUUUGCAGAAUGAAGUCUUUAUUUUGAUAGUGGUGUAUGUUAACAUGAGUUUGAGUCGGGUCUGAGACAGGGUUCUUUUUAGUUUCUUAUACAUUUAUACAAAAACUGUUUCAACUUGCCCUUUCUCACAGCACACGUUAAACACACAGUCUGCUUUGACUCAACAAUUGUAACAAUAUGUGCGUCCUACAUUCAUUUUGGGACACACAUGCAACCCCAUUUCCAAAAAGUUAGGACGCUGCGUAAAAUGCAAAUAAAAACAGAAUGCAAUGAUGUGCAAAUAAUUUAUCCCUAUAUUUAAUUGAAAUUGACAUAUGAAAUGUUGAAACUGAGAAAUGUUUAUGUUUAUGCAACACAAGCAGGAGGACUUUGGACAGGGACUGCAACGAGUCUUUCAAGCCUGGUACUCCGGAGGUGUGGGCCAAGACCUGAUGUCAUCCUAGUUUAAACAGGGCAAGAGAUGGAAAAUAUAAGAAAUUGCAUUCCUUAGAUCUACAAGGAUUUACAGUGGAGAAGGAAAACUGAAUGGAGAAGGAGAACUGACCCUACUUCCCCAGCACAAUAAUAUAGCAGCGUAAAACCUUGGGGCUGAGACAGGGGGGUCCAGUGACACCGUGGCCCUAUCCGGGGGGGGCCCCAGACAGGGCCCAACAGGCAGGAAGUCAAUCCACCCACAUUGCUAAGCAUCUAUCAAAGAGACACCCACCACCCGGAAGAAGACCAAUUGCUGUUGUUUUGGAAGUGAAAUGUAUUCACAUUCUUGCUUUAUAUAGGAUUUCAGCUGCUCAACAGUUCGGGGUCUCCUUUGUCAUAUUUUUCGUUUCAUAAUGGCUUUUGAACUGUGUGCUGAUAAGAAGCUCCGGACUAAAGAAUGAUUGCCUAAAGAGGGACCAUGAUUCCCAAAAAUAGUCAAGGAUUCCCAAAAGAAAUUCAGAUUUUGAUUCGUCAGACCAUGGGACAGUUUUGCACUUCGCCUCAGUCCAUCUUAAAUGAGCUCCGGGCCCAGAGAAGGCAGUGGUGGUUCUGGAUCUGGUUUAUAUAUGGUUUCUUCUUUGCAUGGUAUUGAUUUUAACUUGCAUUUGUGGAUGCGGCGACGUACUGUGUUCACAGACAAUGGUUUUCAGAAGUGUUGCUGAGCCCAUACAGUGAUCUCCACUACAGAAUCAUGUACAGCCUGAGGGCUGGAAGAUCACGGACAUACAAUAUUGGUUUUUGGCCUUGUCCCUUGCAUACAGAGUUUUCUUUGGGUUCUCUGAACCUUUUAAUGAUAUUAUGUACCAUAGAUGAUGAGAUCACCAAACGCUGUGCAAUUUUACAUACCAUACCAUCAUCUUCCGCUUAUCCGGGGCCGGGUCGCGGGGGCAGCAGUCUAAGCAGGGAUGCCCAGACUUCCCUCUCCCCAGACACUUCCUCCAGCUCUUCCGGGGGGACACCGAGGCGUUCCCAGGCCAGCCGGGAGACAUAGUCCCUCCAGCGUGUCCUAGGUCUUCCCCA
ensembl:lncRNA